UACGAAGGGGGCUAGCGUUGUUCGGAAUUACUGGGCGUAAAGGGCGCGUAGGCGGUUUGAAUCGUCGGAUGUGAAAGGCCUGGGCUCAACCUGGGAACGGCAUCCGAUACGGUCAGACUUGAGUGUGGGAGAGGGAAGUGGAAUUCCUGGUGUAGAGGUGAAAUUCGUAGAUAUCAGGAGGAACACCAGUGGCGAAGGCGGCUUCCUGGACACCAACUGACGCUGAGACGCGAAAGCGUGGGGAGCAAACAGG
rnacentral:rRNA from 1 species